rnacentral:rRNA from 1 species
CCUACGGGUGUCAGCAGUGGGGAAUAUUGCACAAUGGGGGAAACCCUGAUGCAGCGACGCCGCGUGAGUGAAGAAGUAUUUCGGUAUGUAAAGCUCUAUCAGCAGGGAAGAAAAUGACGGUACCUGUCUAAGAAGCCCCGGCUAACUACGUGCCAGCAUCCGCGGUCAUACGUAGGGGGCAAGCGGUAUGCGGAUUGACUGGGUGUAAAGGGAGCGUAGACGGCCAGACAAGUCAGAAGGGAAAGCCCAGGGCUCAACUCUGGGAGUGCUUUUGACACUGACGGGCUGGAGUGCCGGAGAGGUAAGCGGAAUGCCUAGUGUAGCGGUGAAAUGCGUAGAUAUUAGGAGGAACACCAGUGGCGAAGGCGGCUUACUGGACUGUAACUGACGUUGAGGCUCGAAAGCGUGGGGAGCAAACAGGAUUAGAUACCCUGGUAGUC